rnacentral:rRNA from 1 species
UACGGGGGGUGCAAGCGUUGUCCGGAUUUACUGGGCGUAAAGCGCACGUAGGCGGCCUGUUAAGUCGGAUGUGAAAGCCCCGGGCUCAACCCGGGAAGUGCAUUCGAAACUGGCGGGCUUGAAUAUGGAAGAGGGUCGCGGAAUUCCCGGUGUAGAGGUGAAAUUCGUAGAUAUCGGGAGGAACACCAGUGGCGAAGGCGGCGACCUGGGCCAAUAUUGACGCUGAGGUGCGAAAGCGUGGGGAGCAAACAGG